rnacentral:sRNA from 2 species
GAUCGUAUCAAACGCACUUAUCGUGGUGGGAAGGCGCAUGGGCAGGAUGGUGUAACCAUCCGGCGAAAGCACCCAUGCGCUACCGAAGGCUCCUCAAGGGGCCUUUUUUUAUGCCUUCAA